rnacentral:miRNA from 8 species
CAGGUUCGAAUCCACAGGUCCUG